rnacentral:rRNA from 1 species
GACGUAGGGCGCAAGCGUUGUCCGGAUUUAUUGGGCGUAAAGGGCUCGUAGGCGGCUUGUCGCGUCUGUCGUGAAAGCUCAGGGCUUAACUCUGAGUUUGCGGUGGAUACGGGCAGGCUUGAGGCAAGUAGGGGAGAACGGAAUUCCAUGUGUAGCGGUGAAAUGCGCAGAUAUGUGGAGGAACACCGGUGGCGAAGGCGGUUCUCUGGGCUUGUUCUGACGCUGAUGAGCGAAAGCGUGGGUAGCGAACAGGAUUAGAUACCCCCGUA